rnacentral:lncRNA from 1 species
GUAGGUGCAGACACACACACACACACACACACACACACACACACACACACACACAGAGAGAGAGAGAGAGAGAGAGAGACAGACAGACAGACAGACAGACAGACAGACAGAUAGAGGGACAAACUAUUAACACCAAGAUGGAGCAUGCAUUAUAGAAAAAGGAUGGGGAAUUGUUUGUAGCAGGAAAUGUUGCCUGUAGGUGCUUCUCUUUUCUUCUGGGUGAAGUGGAUUGGGGUGAUCUGCUGGAGGAGAGACCUGCAGUGUAGGUAGAGGCACAGGUCAGGAGAGAACCAACUCCAGAGACCAGGGAAGGCUGAGCAGUCAAAGAUGACGUCUGAGAAGUUACCGGAUGUGAGCUGAUCAGAAGCCAAUUGCUAGAUGCCGCGACCGCCUGGACCAGCAAGAAUGACGCAACACCGGAGCUCUUCUUGCAAGCAGUUUAUUCAGAACCUUGAACAGCGAUCUCUCUCCUCGGGCAAGCCUCUCCCAGCCCUUAAAUAGGCAUGGACCACCAACGCUGGAUUGCUACGUGGGCACCGUCCAUAGGUCCAACACAUACGCAAGCGCUUACGAUCAUCUGGCCUUAGCCAUAUAUGGAGUUGUUUUUCGAAGAGAGCGCUGGCUUUCGGGAUCGCGGAGGGCGGGAGCCAGCGCCAUCUUUAAAGCGCGGCUCCACGCAGCUCUCUACAGCUAGAUAUUAUUCAGUGUUUCCAUUUUUUUGAAAAUUAACAUGGUGACACCUUUAAUCUCACCAUUUGGAAGGCAGAGGCAGGUGGACCUCUCUGAGUUUGAGGCCAACCUGGUGAGACCUUAUCUUAAACAAAAAUAAGGUAAAAAUAGAAUAGGCACAGGAUUUGCACUCAUCAACCCUUUAUUUUCCUCAUUUUUCCACUUAGCCAUUUAUCUUGUCUGUCUUCUAGAAGCCACAGAAAUUUUAAAUUCUUGCUAGAGACUGCCAGCACCUGUAGCACCCUUAUUUCUGCAUCUAGUUACCCUUGAACUUUCAUUUCUUAAAUGAAAUAAACUUAUUUACUACAUAAGUAAGCUUCCAGCUUCCCUUCCUGUCCAGUGGCACCUGAUUUACAAAAAGGGGGACUAUGGUUGUUUCACUUAGAAGUUCCUGAUCCACUGACCUCAAGGUGGAGGUGGAGGCCACUCUGAGAAGGAAUGGAGAACUGUAAGCACUUCUUUUUUUUGCAGGCACAAAACUACACAUGUGCAUUUUGGAACAAUGUCAGACCUAUUUCUGAGUCCUGAAGCUCCUAAGAUGCCAGUAAGGGAUGUGGAAAUGCCCCAUAUUUUUUGUUGCCUGGAGUUAAAGUAUACAUAAACUGGUAUAUAUGAUUCUUACCUUAUUGAAGAAGGGUCUGAAAUGGCACCUUUCUCCCAAACAUGAACAAUACUUAUUAUAUUUAUGUUGCUGUAACAAAACAAGUUAGUGAAGACCAUAGAUUUAUUUCUUAUAGUUCGGAGAGCUGUUGAGGUCAAGGUUAAGGCCAACAUACUAGCUGAUUCAGUGUGUGGUGAAGGCUUGUUUGCUGUUUACACAGUAGCACCAGAAGGACUCUGUGCUCACAUGGUAGAUGACAGAAGGACAAAAGCUCAUCUAAUUCCCCUGAGUCUUUUCACACAGGUGUUGAUUUCCUUGAUGAGAGCCGGGCCCUUCAUGACUUAAUCAGUUAUUAAAGGGCCCCUGCAUCUUAAUCCUGAUUUUAAAUUUUGGCCUACAUCCAAACAAUAGGUAUUUUCUAUAUACAAGAUAUUUCUUCAUGUGAGUUUGCGUAUUUGUGUGUGUAUAUGUGUACACAGGUAUGUGUGCAUCCAUGUGGAGGUCAGAGGUUGAUGUCAGGCAAUAUUCUUUGAUCACUGUCUACCUUAUGUUUUGAGACAGGGUCUCUCACUGGACUUGAAGUGAACUGAUUGUCUAGACUGGCUGGUUGUCAAACCCCAGGGGUCUUCCUUUCUUCACCUCCUCGACAAUGGGAUUGCAAAUGUGAUACCAUGCCUGGAAUUUUAAUUGGGUGCUGGGGAUCCAAACUCUAAGUGAACCAUUUCCUCAGAGCCAACUACAUUAGAUAGUCAUGUUAAUAUCAUGAGAUGUUAAAAAAAACCUAAGAUUGUGUAGAUAUAAAAGCAAUGUCCAUUCUAGGAGCAAGAGACCUGCCUUUUCUGGCUAACCUGAUGGAUCUAGGUGACCCACAGCUAUACAAUUUGGCCAUGCUAUUGGUAACAUUUGCCAUUUUUCUUGGGGUUGUAUAAAGUCUCCCAGUGACUACAGUUCCCUUGGUGGCCAUUUGAGUCACAGGGAAGAAAAAUAAUCUCCAGAAAGCACAGAAUGAAUAAUGGCAGCAUGGGGAAGAGAUGCUCAUGGUUAUGACCCACUCACAGAUUUUUGAAAUAUAGGUCAGAUGGAGAGGAAGUGAAACUUCCUGUUGAAGUUUCAUUUAUAGCAUGUGUCUGGAAAUUGCUAAAUGUAAUUUCUUGGUGUAAAAUAAACUGCAGAAAUCUGGGUUGUGUCCGUCUGCUGUAUGUUUAUGGAAGCCAUUCUGUCUGAAGCUGAGAUGCUGUGAAAUUAUAUAGUGGCAUGAACAGCCACAAUUAGUGUAACAGAUGUGACCCUCUUCUCCAACUCAGAAGCUGUCAGGAUCUCAGCAACCGGAUCCAGAAACUAUCUGGGAAUUCCUAAAAUCCAUACAAUGCUACCCAUGUGAAGGACAACAUCAACGUUUUAUUUGCUACACAUUCGUUUGUGUGUCUUAGUACUUUCUACUUUCCUUUUUUAGUGACUUAAAAACAAUAAGCAUGGGGCUAGAAUGAUAGUUCACUUGGUAAUGUGUUAGCAUUGAGGUUGAGAUAAGAGGAUUUGAGGUCCUGUCAAAUGGAUGAAUUCCAAGUCCCAGUGAGAGACCCAAUCUCAAAAGUAAGGUGGUAAAAAAAAAAAAAAAAAAAGAGGGCCAGAAAGAUGGCUCAGUGGAUAGGAUGUCUGUUGUGGGAGUGUGAAGAC